rnacentral:tRNA from 1 species
AGUAGCAUGGCCGAGCAGUCUAAGGUGCUGGAUUUAGGCUCGUCUCUUCAGAGUUGUGGGUUCAAAUUCCACCACUGCCA